UUUGGCUUCUGGGAGAAACUAGAAGCUUCUCAUUUUCUCUCUCUCUGACACUUCCUGUUCAUAUCUAUUUUCUCUGGUUUUCAUCUUCAAAUCUCCAUGAUUUCAUGGUAUCAGAGCAGGAAAAUCUUCCGAUCCUUCUCUGUUAUGUGUUAUCGAUACUUGCUGAAGCUUUUUCUGAAGUUUUUCUUCGGUUAUCUGAGAAAAAAUACUGUUCGUAUAUUUUUCGAUGAAUGUUAAUCGGAUAAUCGGAACUUUUCUGACUGUUUGAGGCUCCGAUUAUGUAUCAAUAGAUGUUUUGGGUGUUGUUCCGGCAUCUCUGGUCUUAUUCCGACGAGUUCUUCAAACUCUAGGGUUUUCCGACUUUCGUACCUGGGGUUUUGAUGCUAUCCGAUGACUUUGCUUUCGGUCGACAGGCGUUUUGGGUAAGCUUCCGACGUCUGUGACCUUAUUUUGGUGAGUUUCCGUUUAACUGCAUGAUGCUAUCCGAUGACUUUGCUUUCGGUCGAUAGGCGUUUUGGGUAAGCUUCCGACGUCUGUGACCUUAUUUUGGUGAGUUUUCGUUUAACUGCAAUCUCCGGUGACCGGACUUAGUCUUAUCUGGUGGUUGAAGGCCGUUCUUCUCCGGUCGCGAAGAAGGAGGGUAACACUUUCUCUGUUCUACGUGUUGUAUAUGUUGCAUGCUAGUUCUUGUUUUAUUGUGGUCUGUUCAUUGAGACUAUUCCUGUGUUGUCAAAUCUGUUCAUUGUUCAUGGCUGUUAAUAUGAAUACUAAUACCUCCCCCGCAGACUCUACUAGUCCCUUCCUAAUUUACUCCUCCGAUGUUCCUGGUGUGUCUCUUGUGUCCACUCCCUUUUCAGGCAGUGGUUAUGGAGGUUGGAGGAGGAAAAUGAUUGUUGCCCUAUCUGCUAAAAACAAAAUCGGAUUUGUUGAUGGCUCAUGUCCUCGACCAACCACUAAUGUGGCUGAACAGAGGCUGGUUGGAGGAGGAAAAUGAUUGUUGCCCUGUCUACUAAAAACAAAAUCGGAUUUUUUGAUGGCUCAUGUCCUCGACCAACCACUAAUGUGGCUGAACAGAGGCUGUGGGAUAGAUAUAAUAACAUGGUCAUUUCCUGGUUGACUGCUUCCCUAUCUCCUCAGAUUGCUGAUAGUGUGCAGUAUUCUGAUACUGAUAGAUAUAAUAACAUGGUCAUUUCCUGGUUGACUGCUUCCCUAUCUCCUCAGAUUGCUGAUAGUGUGCAGUAUUCCGAUACUGCAGAGAGUAUAUGGUCCCAAAUUGAGAAAAGAUAUGGUACUCCUUACAAGACCAAAAUUUUUGAAUUAAAAAGGGAACUUUCCCACACAUCUCUAGGUUGUUUAGAUGUAGCCUCAUAUUUUAACAAACUCAAAGGCCUGUAGGAUGAGUUGGGCACAAUGUGCACAAAUCAUGGGCAGAGAUGUGUGUGUGCCGCUAAAAAUGGAAUAAUUCAGGAAGAUGACGAAAACAAGGUAUUCCAGUUUCUUAUGGGGUUAAAUGAAGCAUACAUGGGGGUUAGGAGUAACUUGUUGAUGAUGCAGCCAUUUCCUUCCCUUGACAGUGUUUACAAUAUAGUGCUUAAUGAUGACAAACAGAGACAAGUUCAAUCUAUUUUCCAAAUCAGUCCAAACUCUAUGUCUUUUAAUGCUAAUACAAAUAAGCACUCAGUUGGGUUUAAUCAGGCCACAGUGCCCAGUACCCCUGUUUUCAGACCCAGAGUUAAUUUUGAGCAAAGUAGAGGGCCCUUAUUUUACAGAUACUGCAAGAAAUCUGGGCACUUAAUUGAUAAGUGCUAUAAGAUUCAUGGGUUUCCUCAAAAUAUCAAAUACAACAAGGGAAGGAAAUUUGCUGCUUCUCAUGUCUCCAGUGGUGAGGAAAGUGUGUCUGUUAAUCAUGGAAAUCAUAAUAUGUCUGUUCCUCUUGGGGAUCCUCCUGCCAGCCAUCACCAUGUUACAAACAUAGAUGGUCAAAGUUCUGUGGUACCAGGGUUGAGCAAACAACAAUAUGAUCAAUUGAUGAGCUUGUUGCAACAGACCCAGUUAGGGGAUUCCAGUGCUCAGGCUCCUUCUCCCAUGUAAGGUUGAGUAGACAAAAAUAUUAUCAAUUGAUGAGCUUGUUGCAACACACCCAAUUAGGGGAUUCCAGUGCUCAGGCUCCUCCUCCCAUGUAUGCUGCUAAUUUUGCUAGUACUAUGUUGACUGAGAGUCUUGUUUCUGAUUCCAAGUUAUGCAUACUUACACACAUUAAUUCUAUCACCUGGAUCAUAGAUUAAGGGGCAUCUAAUCAUAUGACACAUGAUAAAAACUUACUAUUUAACAUCAUACCUUUGACUAUUCCUUAUCUUGUAACUUUGCCUAAUGGUUACAAAGUGAAAGUAACUUGUACAGGUUCUUUUGCAUUAACUUCAUUCAUUACUCUUCACAAUGUACUGNNN
rnacentral:lncRNA from 1 species